rnacentral:rRNA from 1 species
CGGAUAGAGCCAGCGAAGUCGCUCGUAUUCAGCCAAAAGUCUGGGGUUGCCUGUCGUCGUGUUUCUAAUCGAGCACGGCGGUUUGUCUUCUCUGGAUUGAGGUGCAUUUGCGGGCGUUUGCGCUGAGACUUGCGAGGCAGCUGCGGGACCGGCGUUUAGAGGCUUCCCAUUGGGUUGAACCUGGGCGCCGUUACAGCUGAUUGCCUUGCUCGUACUGGUCUGGCCUACGGACCCUGCUCGUGCUGUUGUCAACUGGCCAAGGCAUCGCAUGCGAUGUCUAGCCUGGGGGCUGCAGCGCGGGUUGGUGUCCCCGGAUCGCCUCUCGGUGUAGAAGCUGGUCAUCUCUCCGACCCGUCUUGAAACACGGACCAAGGAGUUUAGCGUAUGCGCGAGUCAUUGGGUGUUAAAACCCACAGGCGCAAUGAAAGUGAAGGCUCGGUCGCCGGGCUGACAUGCGAGUGCCGCGGCUUCGGCCCAGGCAUGCAGCAUGGUCCCAUUGCAAUCGUUUACGAUGCAGUGGAGACAGAGCGUAUGCGCUGAG